rnacentral:rRNA from 1 species
CACGUAGGGCGCAAGCGUUGUCCGGAAUUAUUGGGCGUAAAGAGCUCGUAGGCGGCUUGUCGCGUCGACUGUGAAAACCCGCGGCUCAACCGUGUGGUCUGCAGUCGAUACGGGCAGGCUAGAGUUCGGUAGGGGAGACUGGAAUUCCUGGUGUAGCGGUGAAAUGCGCAGAUAUCAGGAGGAACACCGGUGGCGAAGGCGACUACCUGGCCUGUUCUUGACGCUGAGGCGCGAAAGCUAGGGGAGCAAACGGG